rnacentral:rRNA from 1 species
UGAGGAAUAUUGGUCAAUGGGCGAGAGCCUGAACCAGCCAAGUAGCGUGAAGGAUGAAGGUCCCUACGGAUUGUAAACUUCUUUUAUACGGGAAUAAAGUUUCCCACGUGUAGCCAUUUUGUAUGUACCGUAUGAAUAAGC